CACUGAGAGAUUAUAACUCUUAGCAAUGCCUGCCCAGUGCGAUUAACUUCGUAAACGGCCGCCCUAGCGUGAGGGUGCUAAGGUAGCGAAAUUCCUUGCCUUUUAAUUGUAGGCCUGCAUGAAUGGCUCGACGAGGGUUUAACUGUCUCUAGUUUUAGAUUUUAAAUUGGAUUAAAGGUGAAGAUACCUUUAUAAAAAAGUCAGACAAGAAGACCCCGUGCAACUUUUAAAAUCAGCUUAUUAAGAAAUCUUAGAUUUUUAGGUGGGGCGCCUAUUAAGUAAGUGUAACCUUUUUAACUACAAAAAACUCUCAGGUAUAGACCCGGUAAUUACCGAUCAUAGGAGAAGUUACGCCGGGGAUAACAGGCUAAUUCACUAGUAGAGAACGUAUUGGCUAGUGAGAUUGGCACCUCGAUGUUGAAUCAGGGAUGAUACCUUUAAGGCGUAGAAGCUUUAAAAGUAGGUCUGUUCGACCUUUAAUACCCU
rnacentral:rRNA from 1 species